UACGAAGGGGGCUAGCGUUGUUCGGAAUUACUGGGCGUAAAGCGCACGUAGGCGGAAUGUUAAGUCAGGGGUGAAAUCCCGGGGCUCAACCCCGGAACUGCCUUUGAUACUGGCAUUCUCGAGUCCGGAAGAGGCAAGUGGAAUUCCCGGUGUAGCGGUGAAAUGCGCAGAUAUCGGGAGGAACACCAAUGGCGAAGGCAGCUUGCUGGGACGGUACUGACGCUGAGGCGCGAAAGCGUGGGGAGCAAACAGG
rnacentral:rRNA from 1 species